AGCCUGAACGCUGGCGGCGUGGUUAAGACAUGCAAGUCGUACGGUGUAGCGUAGCAAUACGCUGCACAGUGGCGAACGGGUGAGUAAUGAAUCGCUAAUGUACCCCGGACUCUGGGAUAGCUGCCCGAAAGGGCAGGUAAUACCAGAUAACGUAAUUUUCCGGCAUCGGAGAAUUCCCAAAGGUCCGCGGUCUGGGAGCAGGCGAUUUCGUAUCAGCUAGUUGGUAGGGUAACGGCCUACCAAGGCGAUGACGCGUAGCCGGACUGAGAGGUUGGCCGGCCACAUUGGGACUGAGACACUGCCCAGACUCCUACGGGGGGCUGCAGUAACGAAUCUUCCGCAAUGCACGAAAGUGUGACGGAGCGACGCCGCGUGUGGGACGAAGGCCCUUCGGGGUGUAAACCACUGUCAGGGGAUAGAAAGUUCUGAUCAUCCCCAGAGGAAGGCACGGCUAACUCUGCGCCAGCAGCCGCGGUAA
rnacentral:rRNA from 1 species